UUUUUUUUUUUUAACUACGUAGCUAUUUUUCAGUGGAUCAAGAGUUGAAUCUGACUUGCUGUCUUGCCCCGUUUUCAUCUCUGGUAUUUUUCUUUACACAUUCAUAGUGUAUUUUCUACAACAGAAAUCUCAACUUAUCACUAUGUAUAUUCCUUUCUUUGCUCUGAGUCAAUCAUGACAUGUAACAUAUUUUAAUUAUUUGGUGUCUGCUUAACCUUCCACAUCCAGUGCAUUUGCAUCUGCUUUGAGAUAAUUAUAUAUGUAUAUUUUAUAAUAUAUAUAUAUUUAGAUUAUACUCUUUCAAAGAAAGUCUCAUUACCAUAAGUUGUUAUAAAACUGUUCUAUACAUUUGGAUUUCAUUUGUGGUUAACUAUAACCUGCAGGAAUUUACCUGAUACAUUUAUUUUCUGCCAGUCGUUUACAAUGCUAUAGUUGCGUGGCUUUUCUGAAGGCUGCUAUUAUGUCCAUGUUCUUAUAAAAUAUACAGAUGUGUAAAUGAGUUUCUCAUUUGCAGGAAUGUCUUAACUUUUUUUUGUUUGUGCUUCAGGAUAUUAGGAAAUAUUUCUAAUUUAGCACCAUCUACAAAUGUACUGAGUAGAAUUUCACAAAUGUUUAAAAUCAAUUUAAUUAUCCAAUAGAAAAGGUCUUGGUAAGGACAACACAAUUAUUAAUGAUUUUACUUAAUACUGGACAUCAUUCAUUACUAACUUUGACAUAUACCUUAAUGAAAUAAAAUAAAGGUACAAUUUUUUCACAGGUUUUGAUAUUUCUCUUUUGGUCAAGGUUUAGACUUUAUGCCUUUGUUUGGCACCUAAUACAAAACAACAUUUUUCCCUUCUGUUUACAUGACUUCUUAAUAAUUUUUCACAUACUUAUGCUUUCCAAAUGCUUUCAUUUGAUUGAAAUCCAAGAGAGAUUUCCAUCCAGUUAUUGUGUUCUAAUGACAGUUAUAAGCAAGAAAAUGCUUCAGAUACACAAGUCACUUUGCUCAGAACCAUAAUCAUGCCACCUCUGAGGCCGGGCUUGAACAGGACAUAGUUACCUUCUAAUAAGUGAUGAUUUGGCAAGAUGCUGAUAUCUCCACUACGUAUUACUCAUCUUUUCACUUAUUCAAUAAUAUUGUUUAUUACCAGCCAACCACAGUGCUGAGAUCUAGAGGCAAGACCUGUUGUCAUACACCUACAGUCUGGUGGAGGAUGGAGAUAAGAGAACAUUUAUAACACAAUGAAAUAAAUUCUCCAGGAGAGGGACACCUGAGUGGCUGUUGGUUGAGCAUCUGAUUAUUGAUUUUGGCUCAGGUCCUGAUCUUGGGGUCGUGUGAUUGAGUCCUGCAUUGGGCUCUGCAGUCAUCGAGGAGUCUGCUUGUUCCCCUCCCUCUGCUCCUCCACCCACCAUCCUCUAAAUAAAUAAAUAAAUAAAUAAAUAAAUAAAUAAAUAAAUAAAUAAAAUCUUUAAAAAUUAAAUCCUCCAGUGGAGAGGUUCAGAAUAGUAGGGGGAACAUAGAGAAGGUUCAUUAGAUGGGAAAUCAGCGAACGUUUUUUGAGAAAAAUGGUAGCUAAGAUAAGAUCUGAAUAGGCAAAAUUAACCAGGGAAAGUUAGAAUUUAGGGGCUAAAUGAAAAUAUAGAAUAUAACAGGGAGAGAGAGAUUAGCAGAGGCAAGGGCUAGAAAGUUCUUGGAAGAUUUGGAGAGGUGAAAUUGGGCCAGACAGCGGAUGAGCUUAAGAAAGGAAGGAAGCAACGAAAGGUGGAGUUGAAGCAAAAUCCUUUAGAGCCUUAUCAACCGUAUUUAGGAUAGAGAUAAAUAUAUCUACAUUAGUACUGAAAUGUGAUCAUUCCUAGUAUGCUAUUCGCUUUCCAGGCAAACAAAUAUCCUCUACUGUAGUCAAGGGAAGAUAUUUGUUAAGAAUAUUGCAUUACAUUCCAUCUCUCUGGGAUGCUCUCCUCCUCUCUCCCUUAAUCCAUACAUUUCUUGAUACAGCACAUUACUCAUAGUCUUUAUUUGCAUUAAAUUACAUUUUCUCUUCUCUGACUCUUCGUACCUUUCCUCCCCCCUUGAUAUGCUACGUCAAAAUUUUCCUUGACGUAGAGAUAUUUGUAAACUUAGCUUCUCCCACAAGACUGGGUCCUUGAGAGAAGGUAUUAGGUAGUUAUUUUAGCAUCCCCUUUACAUGGGUUUCACAUACUGUUAAAUCAAUGAGUAUUAUAUCAGCCACAAUGGAAAAUUAAGAAAACAGGCCUUUAGAAAACAUUCAAGCCAUAAUAACAGAUACAAAUGAAGCAUUCCCUUCCAAGCUUUGAACCCUGUGUGUUUGCCAAGGUGGAAAUGCAUCUAUUCUUUGUGUCAGUUUAGCUGAUGCUACUGAGAUUGCAAUUAAGAUUUUUUUUUUUUUCUGUUGAAAAAGCACCAUCAACCAUUCACAUAGAAACUGAAGAAUACUACACUAACGUGCAGGAGAAUCACCAAUGAACCACAGACUCAAAGGAGGGCAAUGAUAACCAGUUUGGGAUGGCAUUUCUUCCUCAGGACAAUGAGUUGAGCCAGUUAUUUGAAUGACUGGUUUGAACUGAGUGCAUUUGGUUUCAUACAAAUGUUGAAAGUGGGCCCUUUUUGACUUUUAUGUCAGUUGGGCAGCAAGAAGAACUCAAUCAGUCUGUUAAGAUGAGCAGAAGGAGCAAAGACGGGUUUAUUUCUCUAAAAUUUAUUACUUCCCCAUCAGUACCAUGAAUACAAUAUUUUAAACAGCUGAUUGGUCUUGAGAAUUUUGCCAUUUGGGGAUUUUUUUCCUUUGUAGAAAGUUAAAGUAUCUGCAAAAGCAUAACAGCAACAAUGAUAGUUAUUGGGGAUUCACUAAGCAAUUUAUCCGUAUUGUAUCAUUACCUUUCCAUACAAAAGUCCUGAGUUAUAUAUUAUAUAUUCAUCCCACUUCUGCAGAUGAGAAAAACUUCUCCAACAUACUAUUUGCCAAUGCUUGGGACUGUCUUCCAUAUCUCUUAUAGAUCUUCUAUACUCUAGCCUAAAUAUAUUUUGUUUCUUCAGCUAUUCCUCAAAACAAAAUGGCCUGAUUAACUUGAAUAAGCUUAGUUUUGGGUUCAUCAUUCUUACCAUUCAGUCACCAAAUCCAAAGAGCACACCAAAAACAAUUUUGCCAGCCAGACAGGAGCCUCACUUACUUUAUUCUGAACAGAGUAUUUCAUAUCUUACAAUACUGAAAUAGUUCUCUGAGAAACCAGCUUACAUGGAUGUCUUGCCACAUUUGUGGCUGAGAUUAUUAUGAUUUUUUUUCUAAGCAAUUACCACCACAACUGCAUCGGCCAGUUUUCUAGCUGGGCUAUCAUCAUUUGCAUCCCAACUGUAGGACUUGAAAAAGACGAACUUUAGGGAUAACUUUAGAAGUGGUCCUUUUUCAAUAUAGCCUGUUGCACGCUUGUUAGAUUCUUAAUCUAGUAGUCCUUAACCAAAAAUCUUUGAACAGCGAGUUUAGUGGUUUAUGUCACAAAACCCCACUUUCUACCUGGGUUUCAUCUAAUCAAUCAUUAACAGUUAUUCAUUAAUAAAGUAUUUUUAAACAAAUUUCCUCAGUAGUUUGAAAGAUCUGGAGGUUAAUUUUCAUUUUCAAAGGCCUUUGUAAUAGGCAUUUUAAGUGAAAGAGAACACUUGAAAUGCAGCAACUUAUCAUUAGGUUGUAAAAAUUAAACUGAAGAUUUACAAUCACAUGCAAAUCUUAUGAAGUGACAUUUCAGAAAACCACUUUCACUCUUACUAUGUAUCUUUGAAAAGAACUGAUAUUUUAUUGCAUUAAUGUUUAAGAACAUUUGAUAGGAUUAUUUCAUUCUGAACGUAGAAGGCAAAU
rnacentral:lncRNA from 1 species